GCGGGAGUCCCGUAGCGGCAAUCGGGUCAGGUUCAGGGCCUGAUGGCUUAGUGCCUUCGGGGGUUCGAGUCCUCCCUCCCGCA
rnacentral:tRNA from 1 species